rnacentral:lncRNA from 1 species
CGGCGGCGACAGAUCACUUCUUCUCCGGCUCAGCGGCGGCAGGUACGGCGGCUUCGGCGGGUUUCUCCUCCUCUUUCUUCUCCUCCACUACCUCAGCGGGCGCGGCUACCUCCGCCGGUGCGGCCGCUUCUGCCGGCGCAGCGGAGGGCUCGGCCUCUUCCUUCUUCUCCUCCUCCACGGCGACCUCGCGGGUGGUGGUCUCCUCUGCCGGGGCGGCGGCGGCGGCCUCAGGCUCGGCCUUGGGCUCCUCUUUAGGCGCUGGGACGAAGGGCGCAACCUUGUCCAAGAUGAAGACGAUGGCGGGGGAGAGGGGCGUGGUGCCGGACUUGACCACCGCGUCGCUCACCAGCUUGGCUCCGGGGAAACC